UUUCCGUAGGUGAACCUGCGGAAGGAUCAUUACAGAGUCCGCCUACUUGUAGGCACCUCUCACCCUUGAAUACAUACCUUUGUUGCUUUGGCGGGCCGCGAUUUUCGCGUUGGCCUUGGCUAACUGUGCCCGCCAGAGGACCCAAACUCUGAAUGUUAGUGUCGUCUGAGUACUAUCUAAUAGUUAAAACUUUCAACAACGGAUCUCUUGGUUCUGGCAUCGAUGAAGAACGCAGC
rnacentral:misc_RNA from 1 species